rnacentral:rRNA from 1 species
CCUACGGGUGGCUGCAGUGGGGAAUAUUGGACAAUGGGCGAAAGCCUGAUCCAGCAAUGCCGCGUGAGUGAUGAAGGCCUUAGGGUUGUAAAGCUCUUUUACCCGGGAUGAUAAUGACAGUACCGGGAGAAUAAGCCCCGGCUAACUCCGUGCCAGCAGCCGCGGUAAUACGGAGGGGGCUAGCGUUGUUCGGAAUUACUGGGCGUAAAGCGCACGUAGGCGGCCUUUUAAGUCAGGGGUGAAAUCCCGGGGCUCAACCCCGGAACUGCCCUUGAAACUGGGAGGCUAGAAUCUUGGAGAGGCGAGUGGAAUUCCGAGUGUAGAGGUGAAAUUCGUAGAUAUUCGGAAGAACACCAGUGGCGAAGGCGACUCGCUGGACAAGUAUUGACGCUGAGGUGCGAAAGCGUGGGGAGCAAACAGGAUUAGAUACCCCAGUAGUC